AGGUAGUUGAGUAUAUGGGGAUGAAUGUAAGACAUUCAAUGUUAUCCGCGAGAGAAAAGCAAAAGGGGGAAUAAAUUCCCCCUUUUUAUGAUAACU
rnacentral:sRNA from 1 species